rnacentral:rRNA from 1 species
CCUACGGGCGGCAGCAGUGAGGAAUAUUGGUCAAUGGACGAGAGUCUGAUGCAGCCAAGUAGCGUGAAGGAUGACUGCCCUAUGGGUUGUAAACUUCGUUUAUAAAGGAAUAAGACGACGCUCGUGUGCCUUUUUGCAUGUACUUUAUUCAUAAGGAUCGGCUAACUCCGUGCCAGCAGCCGCGGUAAUACGGAGGGUCCGAGCGUUGUCCGGAUUUAUUGGGUGUAAAGGGAGCGGAGAUGGGUUGUUAAGUCAGUUGUGAAAGUUUGCGGCUCAACCGGAAAAUUGCAAUUGAUACGGGCAGUCUUGAGUGCAGUAGAGGUAGGCGGAAUUCGUGGUGUAGCGGUGAAAUGCUUAGAUAUCACGAAGAACCCCGAUGGCGAAGGCAGCUUACUAAACUGUGACUGACAUUGAUGCUCGAAAGUGUGGGGAGCAAACAGGAUUAGAUACCCUAGUAGUC